rnacentral:rRNA from 1 species
CCUACGGGAGGCAGCAGUGGGGAAUAUUGGGCAAUGGGCGCAAGCCUGACCCAGCAACGCCGCGUGAAGGAAGAAGGCUCUCGGGUUGUAAACCUCUUUUGUCAGGGAAGAGUAGAAGACGGUACCUGACUAAUAAGCUACGGCUAACUACGUGCCAACAGCCGCGGUAAUACGUAGGUGGCAAGCGUUGUCCGGGUUUACUGGGUGUAAAGGGUGUGUAGCCGGGUUGACAAGUCAGAUGUGAAAUCCUGCGGCUUAACCGCAGAACUGCAUUUGAAACUGUUGAUCUUGAGUACUGGAGAGGCAGAUGGAAUUCGUAGUGUAGCGGUGAAAUGCGUAGAUAUUAGGAAGAACACCAGUGGCGAAGGCGGUCUACUGGACAGCAACUGACAGUGAGGCGCGAAAGCGUGGGGAGCAAACAGGAUUAGAUACCCCUGUAGUC